GCGCGCAUGUGCAUUUCGGAUGGGUUAAAUGCAGAGCACAAAUUCUGAGUAUGGGUCACCAUACUUGGCUGAAUGUCACUUCACUUUAAGUGCGGUACAACUGUGUUUAUAGCGUUAUAUGCCUUUAACAGGAGCUAACAGUAAUUGACAAGAAAAGAAGACACCAUUAACGUUAUGACAUUUUAUUUAAAAGAGAUUAUACGACCAGGUGAAGAUCUGACAUCACAGAGUUCUUCAAGGAUAACACACCUUUUCUGCCAAACGAGGCAGGUCAUAAUUGCUGCUGUACUUUGCAUCCCGAGUCCCCACUGCAUUCUUAUCAUGGAUUGCUGUCAAGUUACUGUUUCCUCCCCCAUUGUGGCCAAGCUACACAUUCUGUUUUAUUUUAAACAUAAAACACCUACGCUGGAAUUCAUUCAAAUUCUUCCUGUGAAGAAAUCCUGAAUGAGCGUCAAAGUUUCAGAUGAAGGGAAUCUACGCUUCCAAGACUCAUAUAUGAACUACUUCUAGAUUCCAAGUUUUUUCAAAUCUCAACUUAGGACUUGGACUGAACAUGCAGCAAAAGAAAAAGAAAAAAGUAGCUUCCUCAAAUGGGUACAUGGCAAGAGAUACUAAAAGCACACAAACAAUUGAAGCCCUUAUCUUAAUUGAGAUUGAAUAGUUUUUUUUUUAGUUUAACAUUGAAAUGUCAGGCAUGAGUGCAUAAAUUUUUGUUCUUUAUUUUCAAAUGCUGUACAAGGAAGUUUUUUUUUCUUCUCAAUGUCAAUUGUAGAUGCAGAUAAUUGAGCAUGAAUAAGAGGUUAGUUAAUCUAACUAGGUUUAGUUCACCCAUAAUAUUAUAUAAAAAAAUCUCAUUCCAAUCCUGUUAGACUUUUGUUCAUUUCACGAGUUCACCCUUACAUCUAAUCUGAAGGCGAAUAGUAGGCAUAUUUUGGCGUGCUGUCCUGGGG